GCGUUCCCUACGCUCACGUAGCUUCAAGGACUUGAUUGAAGUUUUUGAUAAAAGAGAAACCGAGCUUAAAGAAAUACUCAAGCGUAAGAACAGUGACAACAAGAAACAGAUAAGUCACAGCUCGGAUAUACAACCAAGCUCUCCUGCUUGAAUUGUUCUUGGUUGGUGUUCUUUUGUUCAAUGCAUCCGAAAUGCAGCCGAGCUCUCCUGCUUGAUUUGUUCUUAGGUUGGUGUUCUUUUGUUCAAUGCAUCUGCCCUCCUAUGUAUAUGACAUACAAUUCCUUGCCUUGAUAACCUUUUUUAGUCAUGCAAAAGGCUAAGUGGUAGAUUAGAAUAAAAAUGUCUUUGUAUGCUAUUUAGUUGGAAAAAAUAACAUAGAUUGAAAAACAUGGAUAGAUUAUGUAUAAAUGUACGUUAUAGAUGGACAUCAGUAUUUAAAGUUUAAUCAAUUAUCUUCCAUUUCUCUUUUUCCUUGUGUCACCACAUUUGUGGAAAGAGAAUGUGUGGUCAUCUUUGUUCCCCGAACUUAGAUUUGCAAAAAUAAUAGCCGUUGAAAGAUUGACC
rnacentral:lncRNA from 1 species